rnacentral:rRNA from 1 species
UACAGAGGUCUCAAGCGUUGUUCGGAUUCAUUGGGCGUAAAGGGUGCGUAGGCGGCGCGGUAAGUCGGGGUGUGAAAUCUUGGAGCUUAACUCCGAAACUGCAUUCGAUACUGCCGUGCUUGAGGACUGGAGAGGAGACUGGAAUUUACGGUGUAGCGGUGAAAUGCGUAGAUAUCGUAAGGAAGACCAGUGGCGAAGGCGGGUCUCUGGACAGUUCCUGACGCUGAAGCACGAAGGCCAGGGGAGCAAACGGG